AUCCUCCCCCGGUCUCGUCUUCCACCUCGGUUCAGAUAGGCGCGCGACCGCGACGCUUUCUUCUUCUUCUUCUCUCCAAGCAGAAGCUACCCUUUUUCAUACCUAUACAUCCACCAUUUCUUUCCUUCGGCUAGCUAGCGAGUGCAGCUCCGAACUUGUUUUGUUGGUGGUCACCUAACCAUGCUCCGGUUAGUGCACGGAUCAUGUCCAUGACCUCAUCUCGAUCGUGCAAAGAAAUUACCAGAGGCCACGAUGAAGGUUUGCGAAGACGCAUGGCGUGUUUCGAGCUCCUUCAGCAUUACUCUCCUCCGGAGAUAGCAAAGGUGGCUGUACCGAAUCUCUUCUGCCAUCAGUUGAAUUUUUGCUGCUCGGCUUCGCGUAUGUUUUGUGUGUGCAGUGCAGAUGCGGUGUCUGUUUCACGGAGAUCCGAGUUAUUCUGUCGCUUGCACGCUCUCCACUCCAUGGAAAAUUGUUCAUCGCUCCAUCGUCAUCAUCUGAGAUAUUGUUGGAACUGUGAAUAUCUUUUAAUUUGUUCCCCAAAAUUAUUGACAGAGAGACCUAUUUGAGGUUCCACGCUCUUUUGUAACAAGAUUUGGUCACGUACAGAUCGAGCGUGUGUUGAUGUGCUCAUGACGCAGAUGUUGUCAUGCUACAUACAGUCAUAUGCAGUCAGUAAUACAGAAGAACUGCUUUA